UCCGCCAGGGUUCUACAAGCGCCAGCUUAAAACCCAAAGGACUUGACGGUGUCUCAGACCCACCUAGAGGAGCCUGUUCUAGAACCGAUAACCCCCGUUAAACCUCACCACCCCUUGUUAUUUUCCGCCUAUAUACCGCCGUCGUAAGCUUACCCUGUGAAGGCCCCAUAGUAAGCAAAAUGAAUACAACUCAACACGUCAGGUCGAGGUGUAGCUUAUGAGGUGGGAAGAAAUGGGCUACAUUUUCUAUAUUAGAAAAAUACGAACGAUACUAUGAAAACCUAGUAUCCAAAGGUGGAUUUAGAAGUAAAAA
rnacentral:rRNA from 1 species